GCAUCCAUGGCCGAAUGCUUAAAGCGCGAAAGCUAUAAGGGGCUAAUUCGUAGGUUCGAUUCCUGCUGGAUGAA